CCUACGGUCGGCUGCAGUGGGGAAUAUUGCACAAUGGGGGAAACCCUGAUGCAGCGACGCCGCGUGAAGGAAGAAGUAUUUCGGUAUGUAAACUUCUAUCAGCAGGGAAGAAAAUGACGGUACCUGACUAAGAAGCCCUGGCUAACUACGUGCCAGCAGCCGCGGUAAUACGGAGGAUGCGAGCGUUAUCCGGAUUUAUUGGGUUUAAAGGGUGCGUAGGCGGAAUGCCAAGUCAGCGGUAAACUCGCGGGGCUAAACCUCGCUCGGCCGUUGAAACUGGCGUUCUUGAGUGGGCGAGAAGUAUGCGGAAUGCGUGGUGUAGCGGUGAAAUGCAUAGAUAUCACGCAGAACUCCGAUGGCGAAGGCAGCAUACCGGCGCCCAACUGACGCUGAAGCACGAAAGCGUGGGUAUCGAACAGGAUUAGAUACCCCUGUAGUC
rnacentral:rRNA from 1 species